rnacentral:rRNA from 1 species
UACGGGGGGUGCGAGCGUUAAUCGGAAUAACUGGGCGUAAAGGGCACGCAGGCGGUCUAUUAAGUGAGGUGUGAAAUCCCCGGGCUUAACCUGGGAGUUGCAUUUCAUACUGGUUGUCUAGAGUACUUUAGGGAGGGGUAGAAUUCCACGUGUAGCGGUGAAAUGCGUAGAGAUGUGGAGGAAUACCGAAGGCGAAGGCAGCCCCUUGGGAAUGUACUGACGCUCAUGUGCGAAAGCGUGGGGAGCAAACAGG